GACGAACGCUGGCGGCGUGCUUAACACAUGCAAGUCGAACGGAAAGGCCCUGCUUUUGUGGGGUGCUCGAGUGGCGAACGGGUGAGUAACACGUGAGUAACCUGCCCUUGACUUUGGGAUAACUUCAGGAAACUGGGGCUAAUACCGGAUAGGAGCUCCUGCUGCAUGGUGGGGGUUGGAAAGUUUCGGCGGUUGGGGAUGGACUCGCGGCUUAUCAGCUUGUUGGUGGGGUAGUGGCUUACCAAGGCUUUGACGGGUAGCCGGCCUGAGAGGGGGACCGGCCACAUUGGGACUGAGAUACGGCCCAGACUCCUACGGGAGGCAGCAGUGGGGAAUAUUGCACAAUGGGCGGAAGCCUGAUGCAGCAACGCCGCGUGCGGGAUGACGGCCUUCGGGUUGUAAACCGAUUUCGCCUGUGACGAAGCGUGAGUGACGGUAAUGGGGAAAGAAGCACCGGCUAACUACGU
rnacentral:rRNA from 1 species